UGCAUACUCCCUCCGUUCGGAAUUACUUGUCUCGAAAAUGGAUGUAUCUAGAACUAAAAUACGUCUAGAACUCUAGAUACAUCCAUUUUCGCGACAACUAAUUCCGAACAGAGGGAAUACAUA
rfam:Triticum aestivum genome assembly, contig: Triticum_aestivum_CS42_TGACv1_scaffold_404330_5BL